rnacentral:sRNA from 1 species
UGAUAUCAGUAUCAAGAUAAAAGUUUGGAAUGGGAGAAAAAUUCUCAAAGCCUGAAAGAAAAUCUGGAGAUGCUGUUUUUCCAGCAGCUCAGUUAAGGGAGAACUUAGCUUGUCUCUGUUUCUUGAUUCCUCUUCAAUUUCUGUUUGCAAACCAAGACUUGUGUUUGGAGAACUCUAUUGUACUGAGCCUAAGUCAUUUUUGAUCUAUAACAAGAACAUGCAUUUUCACAUGUCAACCGGAUUUGUGGACCAGUAAAGUUCUCCCACAAGAGAUGGGGUCUCACUCUGUCAUCCAGGCUGGAAUAUAGUGGCACAAUCAUAGCCCAUUGUAGCCUCCAUCUCAAGGACUCAGGGGAUCCUCCCUUCUAGGCCUCCCAAGUAGCUGGGAUUACAGGUAGUUACUUUUGGUGACGCUGUCCAGUUCCCACAAUGUAUCAUUCCUUAUCUGAAACUAGACAUCCUCUGCAGCCAGAAGAACAAGAAGUAGGCAUUGACCCCUUGUCCAGUUACUCUAACAAGUCUGCAG